UCAUUACAGGACUCGCAAGACUCCCGUAACCCACGCGAACNNNNNNCUUGCAUCGUUGCCUCGGCGGGCUGCGCUCCCUCGGGGGCCCCCGCCGGCGGCCUACAACUCUUCUGCUUCUUAAGCGUUGGCAUCUCCGAGUAAAAACACAAACGAAUCAAAACUUUCAACAACGGAUCUCUUGGUUCUGGCAUCGAUGAAGAACGCAGCGAAAUGCGAUAAGUAAUGUGAAUUGCAGAAUUCAGUGAACCAUCGAAUCUUUGAACGCACAUUGCGCCCGCCGGCAUCCCGGCGGGCAUGCCUGUCCGAGCGUCAUUACAACCCUCAGGUCCUCGCGUCCUGGUGUUGGGGCCCUGCGCGGCAGGCCCCGAAAGACAGCGGCGGGUGCGUCCCGGAACCGAACGCAGUAGUUACUUCUCGUUCUGGCCCAGGGCGUGCUCCAGCCGUAAAAACCACUUAUCUUCAUAAGUUGACCUCGGAUCAGGUAGGAAUACCCGCUGAACUUAAGCAUAUCAAUAAGCGGAGGAAAAGAAACCAACAGGGAUUGCCUCAGUAACGGCGAGUGAAGCGGCAACAGCUCAAAUUUGAAAUCUGGCUCUCGGGCCCGAGUUGUAAUUUGCAGAGGAUGCUUCCGGCGCGGUGCCUUCCAAGUCCCCUGGAACGGGGCGCCACAGAGGGUGAGAGCCCCGUCAGGUCGGCCACCAAGCCUGUGUGAAGCUCCUUCGACGAGUCGAGUAGUUUGGGAAUGCUGCUCUAAAUGGGAGGUAGACCCCUUCUAAAGCUAAAUACCGGCCAGAGACCGAUAGCGCACAAGUAGAGUGAUCGAAAGAUGAAAAGCACUUUGAAAAGAGGGUUAAACAGUACGUGAAAUUGUUGAAAGGGAAGCGCUUGUGACCAGACGCGCGCCGGGGUGCUCAGCGGGCGUUCUCGCCCGUGCACUCGCCCCGGCGCGGGCCAGCGUCGGUUCGGAUGGGGGGAUAAAGGCGUCGGGCACGUAGCUNNNNNNGGAGUGUUAUAGCCCGGCGUGC
rnacentral:rRNA from 1 species